GAUCCUGGCUCAGAUUGAACGCUGGCGGCAGGCCUAACACAUGCAAGUCGAACGGUAGAGGGGGCAACCCCUCGAGAGUGGCGAACGGGUGAGUAAUAUAUCGGAACGUGCCCAGUCGUGGGGGAUAACGUAGCGAAAGUUACGCUAAUACCGCAUACGAUCUACGGAUGAAAGCGGGGGAUCGCAAGACCUCGCGCGAUUGGAGCGGCCGAUAUCAGAUUAGGUAGUUGGUAGGGUAAAGGCCUACCAAGCCAACGAUCUGUAGCUGGUCUGAGAGGACGACCAGCCACACUGGAACUGAGACACGGUCCAGACUCCUACGGGAGGCAGCAGUGGGGAAUUUUGGACAAUGGGCGAAAGCCUGAUCCAGCCAUUCCGCGUGCAGGAUGAAGGCCCUCGGGUUGUAAACUGCUUUUGUACAGAACGAAAAGGUCUCUAUUAAUACUAGGGGCUCAUGACGGUACUGUAAGAAUAAGCACCGGCUAACUACGUG
rnacentral:rRNA from 1 species